UGGGGAAUAUUGGGGCAAUGGGGGAAACCCUGACCCAGCAACGCCGCGUGAAGGAAGAAGGCUUUCGGGUUGUAAACUUCUUUUAUCCAGGGAGCGAAGGACGUGACGGUACCUGGAGAAAAAGCUCCGGCUAACUACGUGCCAGCAGCCGCGGUAAUACGUAGGGAGCGAGCGUUGUCCGGAUUUACUGGGUGUAAAGGGCGUGUAGGCGGAGGAGCAAGUCAGAAGUGAAAUCUCCGGGCUUAACCCCGGGAAACUGCUUUUGAAACUGUUCCCCUUGAGUACUGGAGAGGCAGGCGGAAUUCCUAGUGUAGCGGUGAAAUGCGUAGAUAUUAGGAGGAACACCAGUGGCGAAGGCGGCCUGCUGGACAGCAACUGACGCUGAGGCGCGAAAGCGUGGGGAGCAAACAGGAUUAGAUACCC
rnacentral:rRNA from 1 species